UAUCUGCUCCAAUAGAGAGACGAGUUCCUGAAACUCCACCUCUAAGGUUAUCCGAAUACGUAAUUGGGUGUGCUUUUGUGUAACUGGUUUGGUAACAGGUUUGGUAACAGCAGAUCGACUGUACUACUAAAAGAAAUCCCUCUAUCUGGCGACAAAAACAUCAAUUUUCUGAGGAGAAAGAAGAACACUCUCGCGCCAUGGUCUGACUGCUGAUCAAAGCCAGCAUCUGGACGGUGAGGAAGAUUCGGGCCCACAUUGCUGAGGGAGAGCAAGAGGAGAAGCCCAUCUUCACACCAUGUGGUGUUAUUGGCUUUAAGAAGGAGCAGUUGACAUCAGGUUCUGAUCCACCGGCGGCCGUAAUGACCCCUGAACCUGAUGAUGGUAUCGCCAACGGCGGCCCGGCGUCGUCAGAGACAGCCGUGCAGAAGUGCGGAUCCUGAGGUUAAAGGUCACACUGGAUAACUGGCUGGGACCAAUAACUUAUUAUUAAGCAUGUCUUGAAAAGGAUGCAUUCACAGAACUGUAUGUUGAGACGCAGUCGCCUUGUUCCUCGCUCCCCGACAACUUUGCAGUAUUUAGAUUUGUUUGUGUUAUUUCUUACCUUGUUUGCUCAGAACAUUUCUAGUAUUGUUACUUACACCCAGAAAAAAACUUUUGUACGUUAAUCAGGGAAAUUCUACAUUCGCAUACAUUAUUCUGAUACGUCUUAAUUUCUUCUUCAAAAGUUUGGAUUAUGUAUUGUAUUACUAGAUAUAACUGCAUUGUUGGAGCUAGAAACAUAAGAAUUUUGCUGCACCUGCAAAUCUGUACGCAACCAAUAAACUUUGAUCACUUUUUUGUAUAGCCCAACAUGCUCUUACUUAACUUUGCUGACCUUAAUCAAAGCAUUCCCAUAGAAAAUGUCACUACGACCAUAAUGAUGACUAGUUUUGAGACCAAAUUAUGACAUAAGUCAUUCCAUUUAAUUUACGUUGUGUAGGUUUCUGAACCCAAGAAUGCUAAUACGAUAUCGCAAUAAAAAGUUGAUUAUUUACUGAUCUAUAGAAGAUAUUCUUUAACAGCCCUCCAACUGAAAAAUGUUUAUGUUGUCAUGCCCUUGCUGUCCCAGUCUCUGUCCAGUGUGCCCAUACUCAGUGGACCAAAUACUAAGCUGAGAUACUUGCUGUAAUUCCAACUUUCGGUCACUAAGUCAGUGUGAAGAUUGUGUGAAGUUAUGACAUUUUCAUAUACACUGAUCUCAGGUUAAUAUUGGGUCCAGUGAGCUCUGUUUAACCUCUGACACCAGAUGACCCUUUAUGGCUGCAGCGUGUGACGACCUGCUCACCAACCCCUCCACCCAGGGACUGAGCUGUUCUGAUGCCCCUGCUGCAGCUUCCCUAAUAAAAACUUGAAAACUAUCUGGUC